AUGGUGAUCAGUGUCCUCUUCAACAUCCUCUUGAGAAUUGCUCUCGACCAGUCACCUGAUGUGUUCAUUGAAAAAGGGAAUCCAGUGUCUCUCACCUGCACCCAGAGAAACACCACCAGCACUGUGAUGUACUGGUACCAGCAAGGAAAGGGCAGCGCCUUUACAGCGGGCGUUGGGUUGCAGCUGGUUGUGUUCUCCUUUGGAAGCUCGGUUGAGAUAGAAAAGGGUUUCGAGGAGCUUUUCAAAGCAGAGAGGAAAGAUACAUCGCUGUUCCUGAAGGUGGAGAAGUCACAGCCCUCACACAGCGCAAUCUACUUCUGCGCUAAAAAGUCUGCACAGUGA